rnacentral:rRNA from 1 species
AUGGGGGGCCCGGGGGGGUUUUUCCCUUGGUUCACGGGGACGGGGAGAAACCCCGGGGUAACCCGCCUUAAGACUGGGAAAAUUCCGGGAAACCGGGGUUAAUACCGGAUGCUUGAUGAACCGCAUGGGUUCAAUCAUAAAAGGUGGCUUUUAGCUACCACUUGCAGAUGGACCCGCGGCGCAUUAGCUAGUUGGUGAGGUAACGGCUCACCAAGGCGACGAUGCGUAGCCGACCUGAGAGGGUGAUCGGCCACACUGGGACUGAGACACGGCCCAGACUCCUACGGGAGGCAGCAGUAGGGAAUCUUCCGCAAUGGACGAAAGUCUGACGGAGCAACGCCGCGUGAGUGAUGAAGGUUUUCGGAUCGUAAAACUCUGUUGUUAGGGAAGAACAAGUACCGUUCGAAUAGGGCGGUACCUUGACGGUACCUAACCAGAAAGCCACGGCUAACUACGUGCCAGCAGCCGCGGUAAUACGUAGGUGGCAAGCGUUGUCCGGAAUUAUUGGGCGUAAAGCGCGCGCAGGCGGUUUCUUAAGUCUGAUGUGAAAGCCCCCGGCUCAACCGGGGAGGGUCAUUGGAAACUGGGGAACUUGAGUGCAGAAGAGGAGAGUGGAAUUCCACGUGUAGCGGUGAAAUGCGUAGAGAUGUGGAGGAACACCAGUGGCGAAGGCGACUCUCUGGUCUGUAACUGACGCUGAGGCGCGAAAGCGUGGGGAGCGAACAGGAUUAGAUACCCUGGUAGUCCACGCCGUAAACGAUGAGUGCUAAGUGUUAGAGGGUUUCCGCCCUUUAGUGCUGCAGCAAACGCAUUAAGCACUCCGCCUGGGGAGUACGGUCGCAAGACUGAAACUCAAAGGAAUUGACGGGGGCCCGCACAAGCGGUGGAGCAUGUGGUUUAAUUCGAAGCAACGCGAAGAACCUUACCAGGUCUUGACAUCCUCUGACAACCCUAGAGAUAGGGCUUCCCCUUCGGGGGCAGAGUGACAGGUGGUGCAUGGUUGUCGUCAGCUCGUGUCGUGAGAUGUUGGGUUAAGUCCCGCAACGAGCGCAACCCUUGAUCUUAGUUGCCAGCAUUCAGUUGGGCACUCUAAGGUGACUGCCGGUGACAAACCGGAGGAAGGUGGGGAUGACGUCAAAUCAUCAUGCCCCUUAUGACCUGGGCUACACACGUGCUACAAUGGGCAGAACAAAGGGCAGCGAAGCCGCGAGGCUAAGCCAAUCCCACAAAUCUGUUCUCAGUUCGGAUCGCAGUCUGCAACUCGACUGCGUGAAGCUGGAAUCGCUAGUAAUCGCGGAUCAGCAUGCUCGUCCCCCCCC